rnacentral:rRNA from 1 species
AGCGGAGCGUGUGGUUUAAUUCGUUGCUACACGAAGAACCUUACCUGGGUUUGACAUAUAGGUUCGUAGGGAACUGAAAGGGACCGACCUUCGGGAGCCUAUACAGGUGUUGCAUGGCUGUCGUCAGCUCGUGUCGUGAGAUGUUCGGUUAAGUCCGCUAACGAGCGCAACCCUCGUCGUAUGUUAUAUGUGUCAUACGAGACUGCCGGUAAAAGCCGGAGGAAGGUGAGGAUGAUGUCAAGUCAGCAUGACCUUUAUAUCCAGGGCUACACACACGCUACAAUGGUCUGUACAAUGGGUAGCCAAGCCGCGAGGCGGAGCCAAUCCUGAAAGCAGGCCUCAGUUCAGAUUGCAGUCUGCAACUCGACUGCAUGAAGCCGGAGUUGCUAGUAACCGCAGGUCAGCAAUACUGCGGUGAAUACGUUCCCGGGUCUU